GAAGGAUUUUAAAGCUGAAGGGAACAGAAUUAGUCACCAUUUAGAUGUUCAUUGGGGUUUUUCGCCCCUUGCACAAUAUUUUUUAGUCCCCUGGGCACUUCUCUUAGUUUGAAUUAUGAGUUAUGGAGUCCAUUUAUUCUUCUAUGCUAUAAACCCCAUAUUGAUUUCAUUAUACUGUGCUGAAACAUUCGGAUAACAAACAGGACAAGGAGAUAGAAGACAAAGCUGCUUUAUUUCUCCUCAUUCUUAGCGGCUAUGGGUGUUACUUUACAAAAUCAAAGUGUUUCCAGUGCUUUAUUUGUGUUUAUAAAUAGGGAUUUCCUAAUGUUUUCAGCACUUACAGGCUCUGACAUACAUGCUUUGUGCCAUGUGUUCUUACAGACCCGCGGUUGGACUACUGAACACAAACCAGCACAAGACCUUCCCUGGGGCACAGAUCUUAUUCUGGAAGUUAUCCCACAGUUUUCCCCCCGCCCUUUAUAGCUUGGAAAGCCCCAUUCAGGGCAAGCAGCAAGCUGCCAGAUGCAGGAGCAGCAGCAUGCUGGUCUGAUUCAUCAGCUGCAGUAUCUGGAGGCUGAUGUCAUGCCUAUUGUCCUGCCCGUAUUUAAUGGGGUUUGUGAUGGUCUGAGCUUUGUUUUUGACCUAGCAGAGGUAGGAAAGUCUUCACAUCAGGUUCAUUUAUGUAUUUCUAAUCAUCACAGUUCAAAUAAGCAAUGUAUUGCUCGGAACAGUGCUGUAACUCUUCAUUAAAUGCUCUUAUUAUCUUCCAGGUCAUAAAAUCCACAUCUCCACCCCUGCACCUCCUCAUCUCUCCACUGCCUCUGCUGCAUGUGUCCCAUCUUGUCUCUUCCCUCUUGGGAGCAGCUCUUUGCACUUGGCUGGGUCCUUGAAGAGGAUGUUUGCUGCAGCACAGGGGAAAUAUUUACUGUGGCUUAAUCCUUGUUGUUAAAGCCCAUGUGAUGUUUUCCAGGUGCAUCCAGUGUGAUGUAUUGAAGGUGUGCCCAGGCGCUGGGCCAGUCUGACCCAAAACAGAGGUGUUUUCUUCAAAGCAGUGGAUUUACACAGUAAGGAAUCCUUCUGGACAUUGCUACCAAGAGCUUUGCUGUCAGUAGAAAGGAGAUUUCCCAGUGCUCUCAAAUCCAUUUGCUCCGGAAGGCUGUCUUUAAAGCCAAUGCACUCCAGUGGGAGCUCAGCUCUCUUAUGGCUCAUGGUUUGGUUGCCUUGAUAUCCAGGUGAUUGAUCCUGCCAUCUACAGAGACUAAGCGACACUUCUGCCAUCGCAGUGGGCUACAAGAGAUGAAUAUGACAGGAUGCCUCCAGCCCAUUGUGGGAAGAUACUGCAAUGCAAGAAGGCCUGGAAAGUCUCUGCACUUUGUGUUACCCUCUUUCUAUGGAACACCUUUAUUCUGUGUGUAUACCUUGUACCUUAAGCCCAGCUUCUUCAGUGGUUUCCUUCAUCUCAGUGCUGCUGGACUUCCUACACCUUCUCUGCAGUGCGUUUCCCUGCAGAUGGAAGACUGAGCUUCAAACCAGCAGACACCCUAGACUUCCACCAGGAAAUCUUGCAGCCAAACACAGAUGUUUGUGGGGUUUGGAGUAUUAUGUCCCACAGGCACUGCCAUAGCUGGAUGCUGGAUAAAGGAAUAGUUGGCUGAUAAGUUUUGCAUUGCUUUAUGCCCCUCAUACAGCCUUGCUGAUGGGGAGACCUUGUCCUCAAGCAGCGUGGCUGGUGAUGAGUUGUGGUAGCUAACUGAACAUCAUUCAUUCAGGUUCAGUAUUCCUUACAGUGCUGAACUGUGCUGGAAAGAGCUCCCUUUACAGUAGCCCACCACAUGCUGUGGCCAUUUCCAUCUGCACUCUACCUCCUAAACCCAAGGCUGACUCAGCUCUUCCUCUGCAACCUCUAACUUGUCCAUACCUGGCACAUGGAGCUAGUAGGAAUGAUACUAUCUGCCCUUUACAACUUGAAUUAAGCUUUUCAAUUAAAAGAGCUGCAUCACAUUAGCUCUUCCAGGCUAGAUCAAUUUUAUGCUUUAAUUUGUGGAGUUUUAAUAGGAUGGUGAGACUAUUCAAAGUCUUGCUCUCUUCUCUGAGCUCAUUCUGCUGGUACUGGCAGGACCUCAGCACUAAGUUGCUGCUCCCAGUGACUUUAAUGGUACCAGACACAUUCCUUGGCAACGUCUGUUUGCCCUUUUUAUCAGGAGUUUAACAUUGCCCUUAAAGGGCAUGUUUUGCAGUCAUAAAUAUGCUCUUUGCAUUUACACAGUUGUGGUCUUGCAAGUGAUAACGGGUAGAGAUGUUCACUUGAAACUCUUUACAGAAUAAACAGCAGCAGUCAAAGCUGAGCAUGACAUUCUCAGUGCUUUGUUAGCACAGAUGUACUGGGAAAAGGGCCCCAAAAGCCCUGGAACCAAGCAUAGAAAAUGGGAUUCUUGGAAGUAAAUGUUAACCCUGUUUAGUAGGUGGCAGCUUCCAAGAGGAACGGCGUUCUAAGGAAUGCUGCAGCAUUGCAGCAUUCAUUCCAACUGGUGCUGUUGUCAGAGGCAACAGAUAACCUCCUUGUGGAUUCAUACCUGGAAUAUAUCUACAUGUUGAAUUAACCAUGACCACUGUGAGUGUCAGCAUCCCUGCAGCAGUGUAACCUGCUGUUCCUAUGUUGACUAAGUGCUCAUCUGAAAGCCACCACCUCCAAAGCCUUUCCAUGCUGCAAGUGUGGUGUUUUCUCACCUGCUUGGACCACAUCUGCAUUCUGCUGGAGACCAUCUCAAUUUCCCUUCCUACCUGCUACCCAGCAGUCAUGAAUUGAGUUGCAUAUGAGCAUUAAGGAAAGAACAAGCUCCUGUGGCUUAGAACCUCCUUUUUUUGGGGUGACUGAUCUCUAUAUGAAGGGGAAUCUGCUAUUCUUCAACUAGUGAUUUGUCACUUGUUUUUACACAGGGAGCUGAGCACUGAUGGUCAGGAAUACACUGUGUUGCAGCCUCAUGGCAGUGCUUCCAUGCUGUUGUGUCUGCAGUGUAGAACUAGGAGCAGGCUUACUGAAGGUGAGGUCAUGCUCAUCUGUGACUUCCCCAAAAGCUGCCAGAUGGAAGUGGCUUUGCAGAACAAUGAGGAUAACACUGUUGUGAUGGAGCUGUCUCAUUAAACAUACUCCAAAUGAAUCAGGUAUCUGUUUGGUAUGUCAUGGCUGCAUUGGGGAAUGCCACUUGUUUUGAUGUUAACCACCGGUGUCCUAUCAUGAAGUGCUAUAUCCCUGUGGCUGUGGGAAUUCACCUUAUUGUGGGGUCCUCAUCCUUUUCAAGCCUCUGUACUUAAGAUGUUGGUGGCUUGAGCUGCAGGUCACCAAGCACCUCUUGCAAUCAUGACCUUGCUUUCUUUUCUGCCCUCAAAAUCAAGUCUUCACAUCACCCCAAUUAAAAAGCCUUUUUCUUUCCUGCAGCUCAUUC